ACAACCAAUACCUGCUCACACGAGAAGAUAACUCUGCAAUACGCAAAGACGGAAUAUCAGUAUAUGACUUCAUGAUACCAAGCUUAAUUUUGAGACAACAUUGAUAUGAUGUAGAUCAGUCACUAGUAGAUAGUCAUGUGCAAUAAUACAAUUAAUUAUUUAACCUAGUUCUCAGGAAUCUAGUUAGUAAUUUAAUAACAAUUACAUAUGUUCUGUAUAGUUCGAAAACGUUUACUUGAUGAUAUGUCAGUAUGGGAAACGUAUAUAAGACAUAUAUUUCAUGUUAUGUGAUAUUUAUCAGAUUAAAAUAAGGGAAGAAAAUUAUAAUCGCGAAGAAAAGGUUACCUCUUAUUUUUCAGUUAGAGAAACGUAAAGAAGACAAAUAUCUCAAGAAAAGUAUCAUUUGAUGUUCGUUAGAAUUACAAAUGUGAAGGAAAUGUUAAUGGCGAAAAUAAUUUAUCUGACAUUUGUCAGCAUGAGAAACGUGAAGGUGAUGUAAAGGUGAUGCAGUGUAAACACAUUGUAUGUGAGGUUUGUUGGAAUAAGAAACGUGAAGGUGAUGUAAACGUGAUGUAAAGGUGAUGUAGUGGAGACACAUUGUAUGUGAGGUUUGUUGGAAUAAGAAACGUGAAAGAAUUGCAGAUAGAGAGAAUAAUUUUACCUUGUGUAUAUCAGUAUUGAGAAAUGUAAAUGUGAUGCUUAUCUCUAGGAUUGUGUUAUUAACAAAUAAUUCCUGUUUUACUAUGAUUCAUGUCAAUAAACUUUUUUGAAGAGGUUUAUUUCGAGAAAAUUUGCAUAACAUGUACACUCGCUAAGAUGUACCACAUUAAGGUAGAGGGUCCCAUCAUAUUUACAACUGUAAACUGGCAUUGAAAAGUGUUGUUUCUGUUAAAAUGUUAAUUCCUAUACAGUUAUGCUAAGAAUAUUAAAAACAAGUGUUCACGACAAAUACGUGCAUUUUGUUAUUGAAGAAUUCGUGGAAAAGGAUUUUAUGAAUUAUGUCCUCAACACAACUUAAUACUGUUGAACAACAGUGACGACUGCGUUGCCCUUUAAGCGAGUGUGACAAUAUUAAUUACGUGAGAAUGUAUUCAUUAAUUGAGUGAGAAAUUGUUCAAUGCAAUGUGGGAUACCUUUCAUCCCAAUUUCAUAAUAACAGAAUUAAUAUGGCGUAUAAACGAUUAAGUUAUUUUAAGUUUCUGGGA